AGGGGUAUAGCUCAGUGGCACAGCAUCUGCUCGGCAAGCACAAAGUCUUGAGUUCAAUCCCCGGUACCUCUU
rnacentral:tRNA from 1 species